rnacentral:rRNA from 1 species
AUUGAACGCUGGCGGCAGGCCUAACACAUGCAAGUCGGGCGAGAGGCGGACGGGUGAGUAAUGUAUGGGGAUCUGCCUGAUGGCGGGGGAUAACUACUGGAAAAGGUAGCUAAUAUCGCAUACCAUCAUGUGAACCCAGAUGGGAUUAGCUAGUCGGUGAGGUAACGGCUUACCUGGGCGACGAUCCCUAGCUGGUCUGCGAGGAUGAUCAGCAACACUGGGACUGCGACACGGCCCAGACUCCGACGGGAGGCAGCAGUGGGGAAUAUUGCACAAUGGGCGAAAGCCUGAUGCAGCCAUGCCGCGUGUAUGAAGAAGGCCUUCGGGUUGUAAAGUACUUUCAGUCGGGAGGCGUUACCGACAGAAGAAGCACCGGCUAACUCCGUGCCAGCAGCCGCGGUAAUAC